rnacentral:rRNA from 1 species
UACAGAGGUCUCAAGCGUUGUUCGGAUUCAUUGGGCGUAAAGGGUGCGUAGGCGGCGCGGUAAGUCGGGUGUGAAAUUUCGGAGCUUAACUCCGAAACUGCAUUCGAUACUGCCGUGCUUGAGGACUGGAGAGGAGACUGGAAUUUACGGUGUAGCGGUGAAAUGCGUAGAUAUCGGGAGGAACACCAGUGGCGAAGGCGGCUAGCUGGCCUGUAACUGACGCUGAGGCGCGAAGGCUAGGGGAGCGAACAGG